CACCAUAAUAUAAUCAUUAUCACAAUUUCUCUGUUCAAUGUUUGAGAUACAAAGCAAAACAAAACAAAGGCAAUUCUCUCCCAUUCUGUAAAUCUAGAUGGGUAACUAUAUACAUUUCAUUUCAAGCAAAUUUCCUAGCACUUUAAAAAUGGACACAUCUGCUCGCAUAUCAUGUCCAACAUUGUAGAUCUCCAGGGGCCAAAAAAGGAAAUCUUAAGUUCAUAUAUGCACCCAGGAUAUAGUGAAAAAUGAAAGCAAGGCUCCAGAUAUCGUCUGUAGGGUGUUUCUGUGCUUGCCACCGUGGGAGGGAUUCCCAAAUUUGUGUUGCCAGUUACCCUGAAGCUUGUAUUUUUAUUCAAAAGAGAUCCAGCACUAAAAUUGUUGCCUGCCAAAUUCAAUUCUUUCAGAUUAGGUAGCAAGCCAAGGAAUUCUGGAAUAGUUCCACUCAAGCUGUUGUUCUGUAAAUCUCUGCAUGUACAUAUAAUCCACCAAAAUAAAUCAAAAUGAAAAAUGAAACCAAAUUGAGCUGACGAAUAGUUCUAUUCAGCUUCUUCUUUUCCAUUCUAUUCGCAUAUAUUCAAGAGCAUCCAUUAAGCUGAAAUUUGGGAGUGGCCCAGAAAGUCCAUACCCUCUAAGAUUCCUGGAAAAUUUUAAUUGCCAAAGUCAUGCGGAAGUAAAUAAACUGGCAAUUUGAUCAAACUCCUAUCUCAUAUGCACAGAAAUGGAAUAGAUAGAAGAUUUAGACUGCAAUUACUCGAGGCGAAAUAUCAAUACUGCAAUUGAGCAUCCCAUGCAUAUUUUACUGGAAGACAUGGGUCACUCUUCCAUUCCU
rnacentral:misc_RNA from 1 species